GGGGAUUUAGCUCAGCGGUAGAGCACUUGCCUAGCAAGUGCAAGGCCCUGGGUUCGAUCCCCAGCUCCG
rfam:Rattus norvegicus chromosome 8, whole genome shotgun sequence.